rnacentral:rRNA from 2 species
UGCUAUACAUGCAAGUCGAACGAGUUCUGAUUAUUGAAAGGUGCUUGCAUCUUGAUUUAAUUUUGAACGAGUGGCGGACGGGUGAGUAACACGUGGGUAACCUGCCCUUAAGUGGGGGAUAACAUUUGGAAACAGAUGCUAAUACCGCAUAAAUCCAAGAACCGCAUGGUUCUUGGCUGAAAGAUGGCGUAAGCUAUCGCUUUUGGAUGGACCCGCGGCGUAUUAGCUAGUUGGUGAGGUAACGGCUCACCAAGGCAAUGAUACGUAGCCGAACUGAGAGGUUGAUCGGCCACAUUGGGACUGAGACACGGCCCAAACUCCUACGGGAGGCAGCAGUAGGGAAUCUUCCACAAUGGACGCAAGUCUGAUGGAGCAACGCCGCGUGAGUGAAGAAGGCUUUCGGGUCGUAAAACUCUGUUGUUGGAGAAGAAUGGUCGGCAGAGUAACUGUUGUCGGCGUGACGGUAUCCAACCAGAAAGCCACGGCUAACUACGUGCCAGCAGCCGCGGUAAAAA